rnacentral:rRNA from 1 species
AUUGAACGCUGGCGGAAUGCUUUACACAUGCAAGUCGAGCGGCAGCGCGGGGGCAACCCUGGCGGCGAGCGGCGAACGGGUGAGUAAUAUAUCGGAACGUACCUUUCAGUGGGGGAUAACGUAGCGAAAGUUACGCUAAUACCGCAUAUUCUGUGAGCAGGAAAGCAGGGGGACCUUCGGGCCUUGCGCUGAUUGAGCGGCCGAUAUCAGAUUAGCUAGUUGGUGGGGUAAAGGCCUACCAAGGCAACGAUCUGUAGCGGGUCUGAGAGGAUGAUCCGCCACACUGGAACUGAGACACGGUCCAGACUCCUACGGGAGGCAGCAGUGGGGAAUUUUGGACAAUGGGCGCAAGCCUGAUCCAGCCAUGCCGCGUGAGUGAAGAAGGCCUGGU